UACGGAGGGGGCAAGCGUUAUUCGGAAUUAUUGGGCGUAAAGGGCGCGUAGGCGGCUAGAUGUGUCAAAGGUGAAAUCCCUCGGCUCAACUGAGGAACUGCCUUUGAAACUGUCUGGCUUGAGGCCGGGAGAGGGUAGCGGAAUUCCCAGUGUAGCGGUGAAAUGCGUAGAUAUGACCCGGAACACCGAUUGCGAAGGCAGCCCACUAAGCAAUGAUUGACGCUGAGGCACGAAAGCGUGGGGAUCAAACAGG
rnacentral:rRNA from 1 species